CAAGCGAAAUGCAUUAAGCCCACGAGUUUUAAUUAAAUUAUUAUUAAUCUCAUUUGACUGCGUGAAUGUGGGGGUUAAGUCCGUCCGCACCUGGCUCCACCUGAUAAAAAAGAAAAUUGAAUUUCGCACAUAAACGAACCGAAGUGAAGGAAAUCAAGAGGCAAAAAACUUUGACAUGCCCCACAAAAUAUUCCUAUCUGUGCCAAAAAGUUAACUGCCUGUGGUCGGCGGUUAGUGGGUUGUGAGUGGGUGGUGUUGGGAUAGCUGUCGAACAGUUUGACAUAUGAAAUUAGGUCGUCUGAAUUUUGAAUAAACUCUAAUUGUCAUGAAAUGCGGCUGAAAUUGUCAAUACAGCCGAUUGCCACCGAUUCAGUGGUCGGACCACUCCGCCCACUUAUAAGCUGCACAAUCCACUCAUUAUCGAUUUGGAUUAUGCAAAUCAUCGCUGGGUGACUCCCUUAUCAAUUUGGUCCUGGAUUUCUUCUUGAAUCUAUCUAUCAAGUGUGCCCAAUGCUUAUAAGUUCAAUUAAAAGGUAAACAAUUCGUAUUAUUUUACAAAGGUGAUAAACUUAUAUUUAAUUUAUUAUAUAGAGUUUACCAAUUACCUAGUUCCAGUAUUAAGUAUUCACAAAAUAUGGCAGAGAUUAAAAUAGGAGUUAGCUACAUCGAACACAGUUGUGCACUGACCAGGUCCUGCAGUUCGAGACAGCCUCCUUAUGGCUUGUGUGUGUGAGCCGGACCUUACUUCCUCUAUCGAUAAGGCGCAAGAAGUCCAGAAGGCAUGUUCCUAGACGGCUCUUUGAUAUUACCAAAAUGGAGAAGAGACGGUCGGGAUCAGACUGAAUGUGAAAGUGUUGUACAGUGCGUGAAAAAAGUUUUCGAAGAAAACUUUAAUAGCCGGCAAAGACGGGGGCACGUUGAUAAUGUGAUAAACAUUUCGUGAUGGGAAAUAAAGAAAAGCGGGACCAGAGUCUACAUGUGAGCCUGCUAAUUAACUAAAUUGGAGACAAAACUUUUGUCUCUGUGCGACUGAAAAGGCAAAGCCCGAAGCUGCGCGGAAGUAGGAUAACAAUAGAACAAGCCAAUACCCUUGAUGGUUUUCCGAAAACUUUUUACAUAUGUUCUUGCCAUUACAAUAGCAAAAAAAAAAACAUUUAGGCCUCUAUAAACUACUUACUUUCCGUCAAAAUCUAUCUCGUUUCUAUCCUGAAAAGAAAAUGUUAACUAAAAUUAUAAUAUCCUUCGCAGGAUUAUUAAAUUUGCUUUAAGAUAAUGAGAUAAACAAUGAAA